AAUUAAAAAGCAAAUAUAUUGCAUUCAGUUUCGACCUGAAAGGUGAUAAUAAAAAUUAUCUUUAAUUU
rnacentral:tRNA from 1 species